ensembl:ncRNA C02B8.11 ncRNA
GCUAGCGAGCAUGCCAGAUGAUGAGCCAUAAACAUUGCGCGGGAGAACAAUAAAGUGUGUCGUCGAGCCUGGCGGUCAGGGUGAUAUGUGAAACUAGUUAUUGAGGUGUCGGAAAAGUGUGAGAUAUGGCUUGGGAACGGAAGCUGU